GCGUUCGUGGUGUAAUGGUUAGCAUGGAUGCCUUCCAAGCAUUCGACGGGGGGUUUCGAUUCCCCCCCGAACGCA